rnacentral:tRNA from 1 species
GAAGAAUUAAUUUAAAUAAAAUAUAGAGCUGUCAAAUCUAAUAUGCCCUCAGCAUUCUUUU